CCUUACCUACUCUUGACAUCCUGCGAACUUGGUAGAGAUACCUUGGUGCCUUCGGGAACGCAGAGACAGGUGCUGCAUGGCCGUCGUCAGCUCGUGUUGUGAAAUGUUGGGUUAAGUCCCGUAACGAGCGCAACCCUUGUCCUUAGUUGCCAUCAUUUAGUUGGGGACUCUAAGGAGACUGCCGGUGACAAACCGGAGGAAGGCGGGGACGACGUCAAGUCAUCAUGGCCCUUACGAGUAGGGCUACACACGUGCUACAAUGGCAAGUACAGAGGGCCGCAAAGCCGCGAGGUGGAGCUAAUCUCACAAAGCUUGUCGUAGUCCGGAUUGGAGUCUGCAACUCGACUCCAUGAAGUCGGAAUCGCUAGUAAUGGUAAAUCAGAAUGUCACGGUGAAUACGUUCCC
rnacentral:rRNA from 1 species